ACGCUUUUUGGAUGGCUGCAGCCUAGGAAUACUAUGCAGCCGAAAUGAGAGCACUUCAUAAGGCGGUGUAGGGCCCUCAAUCGAUGGUGGUGGCUGCAUCUAUUGGUAGAAUUAAGUAGGUUUUGAAGAGAUAGAGUCUAAACACAACUGAAAACAAAUGAGAGUGAUGUUGAAGAAGGAGUUGGGUUUCAUGGUGCUGUUGAUAAGUUGGAUCUACCAUAUUAUUCUCUCCUAAUGGAUAUAGAUCAUGGAAAGUUUGAUGUUGAUGUCAAUACCCAUUUCAAAGGGAGGCAGGAAUAUCGUGCAUCCUAUUUAAGAGAUACAAUAGGAAGACAAUUGUCUUCACCUUAGAGAAACUCUCCUGCACUAUAGCAAAUGAUUAUGUGAUUUGGAUUUGUAAUUGUGGUGAUUAUACCACUUCUUAUUAGUACUUUUAUGUAUAUACAAGCCAGGUUAUGGUGAAAAAAUAUUUAGUUAUAUAGGUCCUAAUAUGUAACAGGUGGUUCCUUUGUUUAUAUUGUAAGCUUUUUGGUUGUGUAUAAAUUUG
rnacentral:lncRNA from 1 species